AGUCGUAACAAGGUAUCCGUAGGUGAACCUGCGGAUGGAUCAUUACCAAGGUCCAUUCCUACAUAUUGUGAACAGUGUGUUGAAAGUUUGUUGUCUGAUUUGUUGAUGGACUUUUGUAUGUUUUAAAGGGUACUUUACAGGUAGUCUUUGAAACAUGCCUUGGUUUAUUAACGUGUCAUAUAAACGGCUUUUACCACUACUCUAGAGUAUUUAUUUUUGCUGAAGUAUAAUAAAAAAAAAAUUUUUACAACUUUUAGCAACGGAUCUCUAGGUUCUC
rnacentral:misc_RNA from 1 species